UGCAAGUCGAACGGUAACAGGAAACAGCUUGCUGUUUCGCUGACGAGUGGCGGACGGGUGAGUAAUGUCUGGGAAACUGCCUGAUGGAGGGGGAUAACUACUGGAAACGGUAGCUAAUACCGCAUAACGUCGCAAGACCAAAGAGGGGGACCUUCGGGCCUCUUGCCAUCGGAUGUGCCCAGAUGGGAUUAGCUAGUAGGUGGGGUAACGGCUCACCUAGGCGACGAUCCCUAGCUGGUCUGAGAGGAUGACCAGCCACACUGGAACUGAGACACGGUCCAGACUCCUACGGGAGGCAGCAGUGGGGAAUAUUGCACAAUGGGCGCAAGCCUGAUGCAGCCAUGCCGCGUGUAUGAAGAAGGCCUUCGGGUUGUAAAGUACUUUCAGCGGGGAGGAAGGGAGUAAAGUUAAUACCUUUGCUCAUUGACGUUACCCGCAGAAGAAGCACCGGCUAACUCCGUGCCAGCAGCCGCGGUAAUACGGAGGGUGCAAGCGUUAAUCGGAAUUACUGGGCGUAAAGCGCACGCAGGCGGUUUGUUAAGUCAGAUGUGAAAUCCCCGGGCUCAACCUGGGAACUGCAUCUGAUACUGGCAAGCUUGAGUCUCGUAGAGGGGGGUAGAAUUCCAGGUGUAGCGGUGAAAUGCGUAGAGAUCUGGAGGAAUACCGGUGGCGAAGGCGGCCCCCUGGACGAAGACUGACGCUCAGGUGCGAAAGCGUGGGGAGCAAACAGGAUUAGA
rnacentral:rRNA from 1 species